GCGGAUGUGGCGGAAUUGGCAGACGCGCAUGGUUCAGGUCCAUGUACUCGCAAGGGUGUGGAGGUUCAAGUCCUCUCAUCCGCACCA
rnacentral:tRNA from 1 species